AUUGAACGCUGGCGGCAGGCCUAACACAUGCAAGUCGAGCGGAUGAAGGGAGCUUGCUCCUGGAUUCAGCGGCGGACGGGUGAGUAAUGCCUAGGAAUCUGCCUGGUAGUGGGGGAUAACGUCCCGAAACGGGCGCUAAUACCGCAUACGUCCUGAGGGAGAAAGUGGGGGAUCUUCGGACCUCACGCUAUCAGAUGAGCCUAGGUCGGAUUAGCUAGUUGGUGGGUUAAAGGCCUACCAAGGCGACGUUCGGUAACUGGUCUGAGAGGAGGAUCCGUCACCGUGGAACUGAGACGCGGCCCAGCCUCCUAGGGGAGGCCGCAGCGGGGAAUAUAGGAAAAUGGGCGGAAUCUUGAACCAGCCAUGCAGGGUGGGUGAAGAAGGUCUUCGGAUUGUAAAGCACUUUAAGUUGGGAGAAAGGGCAGUAAGUUAAACCCUUCCUGUUUGGAGGUAACCAACAGAAUAAGCACCGCUUAACUCCGU
rnacentral:rRNA from 1 species